GGUGCUGUGAAUUUUUUUUUUUUUGUGUUGGUAUGGUGAUUCAAAGGCCCUAGCAAUUCAAGGAGGAAAAAGUAACCUCUAAAGUGAGGAGCAGCGCUGCCAGCGAGAAAAACUCUGCCUCAGCAGCGUGCCGGGGUAUGAACAUCAUUUCACAGAAGUGCUGGGAGGUAUGAGAGAGUGAAACACUGGAACAGCUUGCCCAAGAAACUGGAAUCUCCUUCUUAAAGGAUUUUCAAAAUGUGGCCUGCUUCACAUGAUGUGUUGAACAGGAAAGUGAAAAAGAUUGAAAUAGCUUCAGUGGGACAUUAAGCACCUCAAAGAAGAUAAGCACCAAAAUGCAAAAGACCACUGAGGUGAUGUAAGGCAUUUGUGGAAGAGCCUGGUCAUUACCCACAGUGCUGAGCACAGCCAUCUCUUCUGAGGGCACCAGCAGAGACAUCCUUGCUGUGUCUGGCACCUGGGACAGGCAACCAGCGUGGUGUCCUUCUGCCUGUCUCUCCAUUUGAGGUGAAGAGCACCUCCUCUGCUCAGUUCCUUUCCUUUUCCAAGGAGGACUAAAAAGAGGGUAGGUGGGUGACAAAUCCAUGACAACUUCUCCCUACCUCGCCUUGGAAGGAGAGAGGAGAUGAAGAGUCCAGUUACAACUGAGAUUAAGAAGGUACUGUCUUGGCUCAGCUGGAAAUGAGCAGUAAGAACCACACUUCUUAUCUUCAAAAGUGAUUCCACUGAAGCUCAGCUCUGAGAACAGGUGGAGAAUCCUGUAGGCUCAUAUUUUUCCCAAACCAGUUUGUACCUAGUCUUACUUCUUUUAGAGGUAGACUAGAGAGAAAUACUUGAAUUGUACAAACCUGAAUUUUGUAUAUAUUUGAUCAAGGUGUCACAAAGUUCACCAGAUCAAUGUUUAUAAACUGUGUUUGUUCACAAUCCUUUAUGGGCAUUUAAACACAAUCUCUUUUUCACCAUUUGAAGUUUGGUUUGGGGGCUCUGUGGUUAAUGCCACAUAGGAAUUAUUUAUAUGUAAAAUCUGGAAUCGUGAUUAAAAGUAGUACAUUUUACAGUGCUUUUAUAGUCUAUACAGCUGAAGACAUUUAAAAAAAAAACCACACUCUUCACAUGGCCAUGAUAGAGAAUGUAAUACAUAUAUAACUUGACAUUUUGAGAGGCAAGAACCUACCUAUAGUUACUGACAUACAGUCUUCAAUUGUGUUGCUGUUGGUAUACAAUCUGUGCAUCUUCUGUUUUCAUGUCUGAAUUUAUACACUUGUGGUAUCUCCUUUCACUCAAUAGAAGUCCAGUAUCUUUUUCAGUAAGUUUUAAUAGUCUUUGGACAAACUUCCAAAUUAUUCCCUUAUUAAAUUUAUCUUACAAAUCUCACUAUUAGGCUCAUCCAUCUUGCAAUUGGAGAUUUCUCCGAUUGCAUGAAUAGUUCCUACUGGAUACUGUAUUGCAUGGAAUAUUUUGGCUGAUUAUGGAAAUGACACUUCAGAGCUAGCUGGAAGUGCUAACAUUUUAUUAAGGAUUUUUUUUGUAUCUGUGAGUAAAGCUGGUUUACUGUAUUUAGUACUAUUAAAAACAAACAAACAAUUCUUCCACCCCUGAGUAUUUUUAUUGCCCUAGAGACCCUUUAAUGGAGAUAAAAAAGAAUGGUUUUUAUUUUUUCUCUCUGCUUGCUGAAAGAAGCAGUAGGAGAAUUGUAUUAUUUCAGGCUGAUAUGACUCGGUAUGAAUUAGCAUUUGAACUGUUUCAUAUUUACAUAUUUAGUUUAUACAACAGUUACUCAGCCUAUAUUUUGAAGGAAGAAAAUAGGUAAAUGAUGUUAAAGUCAUUUCCAUGUUUGAAGAAUUGUGCCUCAGUUUGUGAAACAAAAUUCUCUCUCUCCUUUUAGUGGAAAUGGCCUUUUUGUGAAUGGGUAUCCUGCUGAAUGAAAACCAAACAUCUUUCAAACAUUGUGCCAUAAGACAUUUUGUACUUCCUCUACACAGCAUGCAUUUGCCCUGAUUACAGCCUAUUAAAGGCAAAGAGGAAAGGACUUUUCAGUUGCUUUGUUGACUUUUAUAUUAAGAGGGAUUUUCAACUUUGCUUUCUCACUCUGCAUAAGUUGUUGUAAUUUCAGGUCUGAUGUCUGUUUCACUGAUGCUCGUUAUUUGGUAUGACACUCUCAAAUAAAAGAUUUGUAAAAAUGUUGUAUUUAAUUUCACAAUCUAAUAGUCACUUCAUUACCUCUUAUGAGGUUCUAGGCAUUUGUCCCUUUCUUCUCCUGUGGUUUCAUCUAAAAAGGAAUGGCAAACUUCUUAACACGUUUUAGGCAUUGUGUUAAACUCUCUAGCCCGUUCACUAAGGUAUGAAUAACUACUUGAAUACUGACAUAGCAUUUUGUUAUGAUAUCACUUAGCUGAACAGUUAAUGGAGUUUGGUAUCUUGAAGGAUUUUGCAUCGUGGAAGCUAUUACUUGAAGCCAAUUUUAGCUUUCUUGUUCUUUUCAGCUCUUUUUACUUAUUUUAUUAAUUUGCAUAUUGUUAUAGACAGUUUAGUAAUUGUCUAAGUUGGAUGCAUAGUGUAAGUUUUUCUGUAGCCAAUUCACUAAAUCCUUGUAACAGAUUGUGUAAGUGUCACUUUUCUCUAGCAUUCUGAAUACAUUACUUGCCUUUUAACAUUCUUGCAGCCACCCUGUUCCAAAACUGCACUCCUCACCCAAAGAUUUCUGUAAUGCUACAGCACCAAUCUUCCUCAGCUCUGCACUUCUUUUCUCCUGCCCUCCACACCUACUCACCCCAUUUCUCCCAAACAGGACACGUCU